rnacentral:rRNA from 1 species
AGUCGAGAAUCUUUCACAAUGGGGGCAACCCUGAUGGAGCGACGCCGCGUGGAGGAUAAGGUCUUCGGAUUGUAAACUCCUGUCAUGCGUGAACAAGGCUACUUGGAUAAUACCUGGGUAGAUUGAUGGUAGCGCAAGAGGAAGAGACGGCUAACUCUGUGCCAGCAGCCGCGGUAAUACAGAGGUCUCAAGCGUUGUUCGGAAUCACUGGGCGUAAAGGGUGCGUAGGUGGCAUGGUAAGUCAGAUGUGAAAGCCCAGGGCUCAACCUUGGAAUUGCAUCCGAUACUGCUGUGCUAGAGUACUGGAGGGGUGACUAGAAUUCUCGGUGUAGCAGUGAAAUGCGUAGAUAUCGAGAGGAAUACCAAAGGCGUAGGCAGGUCACUGGACAGUUACUGACACUGAGGCACGAAGGCCAGGGGAGCGAACGGGAUUAGAUACCCCGGUAGUCCUGGCAGUAAACGGUGCAUACUUGGUGUGGGAAGAUU